ensembl:snRNA U6 U6 spliceosomal RNA
GUGCUCAUUUCAGCAGCACUAAAAUCAGAAACAUAUAGAGAAGACUAGCAUGGUCCCUGUACAAGAAUGACAUGCAAAUUCAUGAAGUGUUCCAUAUUUUA